UACGAAGGGGGCUAGCGUUGCUCGGAAUUACUGGGCGUAAAGCGUGCGCAGGCGGCUUCUCAAGUCAGGGGUGAAAGCCCAGAGCUCAACUCUGGAAUUGCCUUUGAGACUGAGUGGCUUGAGUACGAGAGAGGUGAGUGGAAUUCCGAGUGUAGAGGUGAAAUUCGUAGAUAUUCGGAAGAACACCAGUGGCGAAGGCGGCUCACUGGACCGGCAUUGACGCUGAGGUGCGAAAGCGUGGGGAGCAAACAGG
rnacentral:rRNA from 1 species